CCUACGGGUGGCUGCAGUGAGGAAUAUUGGUCAAUGGACGAGAGUCUGAACCAGCCAAGUAGCGUGAAGGAUGACUGCCCUAUGGGUUGUAAACUUCUUUUAUAUGGGAAUAAAAUGUUCCACGUGUGGGAUUUUGUAUGUACCAUAUGAAUAAGGAUCGGCUAACUCCGUGCCAGCGGCCGCGGUAAUACGGAGGUUCCGAGGGUUAACCGGAUUUAUUGGGGUUAAAGGGAGCGUAGGUGGAUUGUUAAGUCAGUUGGGAAAGUUUGCGGCUCAAACGUAAAAGUGCAGUUGAAACUGGCAGUCUUGAGUACAGUAGAGGUGGGGCGAAUUCGUGGUGUAGCGGUGAAAUGCUUAGAUAACACGAAGAACUCCGAGUGCGAAGGCAGCUCACUGGACUGCAACUGACACUGAGGCUCGAAAGUGUGGGUAUCAAACAGGAUUAGAUACCCCUGGUAGUC
rnacentral:rRNA from 1 species